rnacentral:rRNA from 1 species
AACGAACGCUGGCGGCAUGCCUAACACAUGCAAGUCGAACGAGACCUUCGGGUCUAGUGGCGCACGGGUGCGUAACGCGUGGGAACCUGCCCUUAGGUUCGGAAUAACUCCCCGAAAGGGGUGCUAAUACCGGAUAAUGUCUUCGGACCAAAGAUUUAUCGCCUUUGGAUGGGCCCGCGUUGGAUUAGCUAGUUGGUAGGGUAAAAGCCUACCAAGGCGACGAUCCAUAGCUGGUCUGAGAGGAUGAUCAGCCACACUGGGACUGAGACACGGCCCAGACUCAUACGGGAGGCAGCAGUGGGGAAUAUUGGACGAUGGGCGAAAGCCUGAUCCAGCAUUGCAGCGUGAGUGAUGAAGGCCUUAGGGUUGUAAAGCUCUUUUACCAGGGAGGAUAAUGACAGUACCGGGAGAAUAAGCUCCGGCUAACUCCGUG